CUGCAAAAGACUUACAGGAGCAGGAGCAGGAGGAGGAUCUCUAUUGAUUAUUUUUAGUUUUGAUGUAAUAUAUUUAAUUUUGAUAUUUAAACAAUAUUAUCUUAUACAAUUGAAUAAUUUAUAUUUUUUAUAUAAUAUUAAUUUUUUAUUUAUGAUGAUGAUAGUUAAUUGUUAGUUGUUAUAGUGUUUAUAAAUAUAUAUUGAUUGUUAAUUUAAUUAUAAUAGAUUUUAGUAAAUAUAAUUACUUGUUAAUUUAAUUAUAAUAGAUUUUAACCAAUAUAAUUGCUGGAUUUUAAAAAAAAAAAUUUAUUAACGAUGGUAAAUC
rnacentral:lncRNA from 1 species